CUAAUUUUAAAAGACAUUUGUAGCAUGGGUGUUGGACUUCAAGUCUAAAUUCUAGAAAUGUUUUUAAUUCUUGAUUUUACUUUUUAUCAUACUAAUUUGCUUUUCUUUUGUAUUUCCUGAUAUGUCAUUGAUUUUUCUCAUGUUAAAUUUUUGAAAAUUCAUCACACUGAAAGUCAUUUUCAGAUAUACAAAUUUAUAUAUAAAAAAUAUUUGUCUUAUCAAUAGACUGAUUAUUUGAAUAAUUAAAACUCUACAGAUUGCUCAGUAUUGACAAUCUCUCAAUGUAGGAAGUGCUUUACACUUUUCACAUUUUACAUUUGUAUGUAUUACCUCAAUCCCCCCAUGGAAUGGCUCAGGAGCUUUACUCUUUUAGAGAUGAGAACAUUAUGGUUCAGAGGGGACCUGUGACAACUGUUACUGUGAUAGUGUGAUCCUGAUACAGGUCAGUUGAUGUGGAGCUCUGUCUCUCUAAUGAUGUCUCGCGUAUAAUUCCUGGCAGUGUGAGUGGCAUAGUGAAGGUUCAGGAAGGGUUUACCUUAUUUCAUUUACUGCCCUGUACUUGGCAUGUUGUCUGAUUCUAGAAAAACACAUAACAAGAAGGAAAUUGCUUUGCUUCUCUCAUAGGAAUCUUUGAUAUCUCUCAGAUGAAGACUAAAUAACAGCUUUUAAAGCAGCAAAUGAACCGAGUGGCAAUAUGCCUGUUCUGUUAAUUCUAGAGGGUAUAAUGAUGGUCAUUUAUGAAGAUGAGGUUGAGAAACUUAUGAAAUAAGCGAAUGCCUUCCAUGAUCUCCACCCCAAGGAAAAUAAGGCCCCACCUCCCUCCCCUGCCCUUGGGACGACGUGAUACAAUGAGCGUGGUGCCCCUGGGAGUUGUGUGCCUUGGUCUACUGCAGAGAUUGGAAAGGUGAAAGAAGAACCCUGCAUUUUCUAGGCUCCUUUGCGCCUGUGGUUCUGAAUAUAAUUUAUUUUCACCAAUAUGAUGCACCACCUGAGAUUUGGAAAGUGGAGUGAGGCAGAGGCCAUCUUUCCAUGCUGUCACCAAGCAUGGCCAUGGUACUGUACUUCAGACAACAGUGGUCUGAUAUAGAGCCACCAGGAAUGGAGGGGUGAAGAGAAUCAAGAUGUGGGGCAUGACAAGGUCCUAGUGUUGGGGUGCUGACAACCUCUUAUCUCUGGAUUGUAGCCGUGGUGUGUUGCUAGACAAACAAGUCCCAGCAAUGGUCCUGAUUUUCUUCUUUCAUUUGUCCUCACGACAACUCUGAGGGGUAGAUACCACUAUUAUUGUUUCCAUUUUCUAGAUGGGUAAACUGAAGCCUGGAGAGGUUAAGUAAAUUGCCAAUUCACACAGCAAGCAAAUGGCCAAUGCAGGUUUUAAUUGCCUGGCUUAAUUGUCUUAAUUGUCACUGGUUUUGAGCCUGCCUUUUUUUUUUUUUUUUUAAAGAUUUUAUUUUUUCCCUUUUUCUCCCCAAAGCCUCCCGGUACAUAGUUGUAUAUUCUUCAUUG
rnacentral:lncRNA from 1 species